rnacentral:rRNA from 1 species
UACAGAGGUCUCAAGCGUUGUUCGGAUUCAUUGGGCGUAAAGGGUGCGUAGGUGGCGGGGUAAGUCUGGUGUGAAAUCUCGGGGCUCAACCCCGAAACUGCACUGGAUACUGCCUUGCUCGAGUACUGGAGAGGAGAUUGGAAUUUACGGUGUAGCAGUGAAAUGCGUAGAUAUCGUAAGGAAGACCAGUGGCGAAGGCGGCUACCUGGACAAUUGCUGACGCUCAGGCACGAAAGCGUGGGGAGCAAAAGGG